GGAGCAGGCGAGGUGGCCGCCCGCACGCCACGAGCAGGCGGGAGGAAAGUCCGAGCUCCACAGGGCAGGGUGGUGGGUAACGCCCACCGGGAGCAAUCCCAGGGAAAGUGCCACAGAAAACAUACCGCCCGUCACUUCGGUGAGGGGUAAGGGUGAAAAGGCGGGGUAAGAGCCCACCGCGGUCCUGGUGACAGGACCGGCAUGGUAAACCCCACCCGGAGAAAGGCUGAAUAGAGGGGGAUGAAGCGGCCCGCUUCGCUAUGACCCCCGGGUAAGCCGUUUGAGGCGUGCUGAAAGGCGCGUCCCAGAUUAAUGGUCACCCACGACAAAACUCGGCUUAUUGCCCGCUCCCAGG
rnacentral:RNase_P_RNA from 1 species